ensembl:snRNA U4 U4 spliceosomal RNA
UGCUUUGCGCAGUGGCAGUAUCGUAGCCAAUGAGGUUAAUCCGAGGCGCGAUUAUUGCUAAUUGAAAUCUUUUUAUUGGACCAAAUUCUGUUGAAAGAGACAAGCUUUGGAGCCACACAGACCUGAAGAAGACCUCUGUG